rnacentral:lncRNA from 1 species
CUAGAUCGUCAUCAGUAACAAACAUCCGCUUCAAAUCCACCUUCUCGAGCCAAGGGUAAGCUUUGGCCAUGGUGGAGACCCAAGGAGCGAAAUUAGCUCCCCAAUCAGGGGGCAUGAGGUUGAAAUCGGCGAAUCUUGGUUUCCCUUUGAGCAGCAGAGACCUCACACGCUUGAAUCUCUGAGUUAACCUAGCUGGAGACAGCGCGUAGCAGUUCCCGAUGAAAACCUCCGAUCGAGUCAAACCCUCCACUUUCCACCACAAUUUGCACACCAGAGAAGCUGCGUUACGGUCGCAUCUCGAAUCCAGGAACUGUAGCACGUUCUCCAGGACGUUCUCCAGGACGUGGUCAGGGAACGUCUGGGAGGAGGAGAUGCAGUUCCGAGAUUUGUUGGGCGAGCAAGGUGCCUGCGAGCGUAGAUCCGACGCUGGAGAUUGGUCUUCCUCAUCCUCAGACAUUUCUCUUGUUUGAUUUUGAUCUCUUUCGAUUCAGAUUAGAAGAGGAACAAGCAGCAACUUUGUGUGUGUUGUGUGAGAGAGAGUGGAGCUUUUCUCUCUCCACUUCGUCUCCAUUAUUUGUGCCUUGUUUUUUUUUUUUUUGUCUUUUUAUAUAUUCUACAAAAAUUAAAUAAUACUUUUAAUAUAUAGCAAAAUGUAACUCCUUUUUCUUACUCCAUCAACUUUUACAUACUCGUCCUUUUAUUUUAUCCAGAUCUGUAUUUUCGAAACGUUAUAUAAAUAAACACACAAAAUAGUAAGAACAUCAACAUUAUCCGUUUCAAUUAGACACCGCUACUUGUUGGUUCCUUUUUGACGUAAUAAUUUCAUUAAUUUAACCAUAUACGUUAACUAGGCCAAAAUACACAUCUCUUUUUUUGUUUUUCUCCUCCAUCUCUCUAGUCUUCUACCUUCCGCUUAUGUCUUUGGUGCCGCUCCGCUGGCUUUCUUAAAACACCAGAACCCGUUUGCUCUUUUUUAUAAUUUGUUUUAUCUUAUUCUUAUGAUCUUAUCUCGAUGUACAAAAGAAUUGUCUUUCGAAGGGUGAAUAAAAAAACUAGUGUACACAGAAGUAGAAGGAUACAUACCCAGAAAAUUUGGAGUUUGUGGCAACUGUGGAUGAUGGGCUUAAACAUGUCAGGAGAAAUGUUAGCAUAACUGAAAUUGAGUGAGGUAAGAUUGGCGCAGACGGGUAAGAUGGCAGGAAGGUACUCAGGCAUUAACUCCCUGAAUCCUGAGAGGCAGACUAAAGAUUUACAAGCACGGAAAGCAGCUGCGUAAUCGGGUGGUUCCUGCUGGCUCUGAUCACCACGGCUAAAGGAGCCAGUGCCGAGACUCGUGAGCUGCGGGGCUCCAAGCAGCAGGAGGCGAUGUACCUCCUCCAGAGACACAAACCUGUUCAGCCUAAGUUUCCUCAACAAGGGGGACCUACCAACAAGACCCUCAAGGGCCUUGAAGUUGAUGGGAGCUUCCACACAGUCAAAUGCUAAAGACUCCAAACAAGUUACAUCCUCGGGGAAACAAGAAACCCAAUCCACUUCAUCGUCUGUGACCUCUGACUCGAUCAGAUCAAGCACUUUCAGCUUUCUGAAACAACAAAUCGGCAGUCCAUCACUAAAAGCACCAACUAGGAGAUGGGUUAAAGAUUUUACCUGCACUUGUUGGCAACGACUGCGAUUCCACUGGUUCCAAAGCCUUCACAGCAAACCAAGAUGAGCUCUUUGAACCCAGGGAAGGACUCAGCGAGAAGCGCUAGAUCGUCAUCAGUAACAAACAUCCGCUUCAAAUCCACCUUCUCGAGCCAAGGGUAAGCUUUGGCCAUGGUGGAGACCCAAGGAGCGAAAUUAGCUCCCCAAUCAGGGGGCAUGAGGUUGAAAUCGGCGAAUCUUGGUUUCCCUUUGAGCAGCAGAGACCUCACACGCUUGAAUCUCUGAGUUAACCUAGCUGGAGACAGCGCGUAGCAGUUCCCGAUGAAAACCUCCGAUCGAG